GACGAACGCUGGCGGCGUGCCUAAUACAUGCAAGUCGAGCGAGACUCUUCGGAGUCUAGCGGCGGACGGGUGAGUAACACGUGGGCAACCUGCCUGUAAGACUGGGAUAACACCGGGAAACCGGUGCUAAUACCGGAUAAUCCUUUCCCUCUCAUGAGGAAAAGCUGAAAGUCGGUUUCGGCUGAUACUUACAGAUGGGCCCGCGGCGCAUUAGCUAGUUGGUGAGGUAGCGGCUCACCAAGGCGACGAUGCGUAGCCGACCUGAGAGGGUGAUCGGCCACACUGGGACUGAGACACGGCCCAGACUCCUACGGGAGGCAGCAGUAGGGAAUCUUCCACAAUGGACGAAAGUCUGAUGGAGCAACGCCGCGUGAGCGAUGAAGGCCUUCGGGACGUAAAGCUCUGUUGUUAGGGAAGAACAAGUACCGGAGUAACUGCCGGUACCUUGACGGUACCUAACCAGAAAGCCACGGCUAACUACGUGCCAGCCGCCGCGGUAAAAC
rnacentral:rRNA from 1 species